rnacentral:rRNA from 1 species
GACGAACCGAGCGAACGUUAUUCGGAAUCACUGGGCUUAAAGGGUGCGUAGGCGGGCCCGUCAGUCAGGGGUGAAAUCCCACGGCCCAACCGUGGAAGUGCCUCUGAUACUGCGGGCCUGGAGGGGGAUAGGGGCGUGCGGAACUUCCGGUGGAGCGGUGAAAUGCGUAGAUAUCGGAAGGAACACCGGUGGCGAAAGCGGCGCGCUGGAUCCCUACUGACGCUGAGGCACGAAAGCCAGGGGAGCAAACGGG